rnacentral:tRNA from 2 species
GCCCCAAUAGUAUAACAAAUUACACUGGUCUUGUAAGCCAAAAACGGAGAAUAAAUCUCCUUGGGACA